rnacentral:misc_RNA from 1 species
GUGAGUCAUCGAAUCUUUGAACGCACAUUGCACUUGCCAGUACUCUGGCAAGUAUGCCUGUUCGAGCGUCAUUUCAAACCUCAAGCUUUGCUUGCUGUUGGGGCACUCUGGUUUUGCCAGAGGUCCUGAAUCGUAGUGGCGGAGCGCCGUUGGGCUCUGAGCGUAGUACUGUUCUCGCUGCUGAACCCCGGCGUCACUUGCCGUAAAACAUCCUAUAACUCAAGGUUUGACCUCGGAUCAGGUAGGGAUACCCGCUGAACUUAAGCAUAUCAAUAAGCGGAGGA